rnacentral:rRNA from 1 species
UACGGAGGGAGCUAGCGUUGUUCGGAUAUACUGGGCGUAAAGCGCACGUAGGCGGCGCAGUAAGUCAGGGGUGAAAUCCCGGGGCUCAACCCCGGAACUGCCCUUGAAACUGCAGUGCUAGAAUCUUGGAGAGGCGAGUGGAAUUCCGAGUGUAGAGGUGAAAUUCGUAGAUAUUCGGAAGAACACCAGUGGCGAAGGCGACUCGCUGGACAAGUAUUGACGCUGAGGUGCGAAAGCGUGGGGAGCAAACAGG